CCCAAACCGCGCACACACACACACACACGCAUGGAAGGAAAGAGAGAAGCCUCUCUUUCUCUCUCUAAAUCUCUCCCAAAAAGAAUAGAUUUGGUGGAGAUUGAAGCUUGGAGGUGGAUCGCCUUCGUCUUCUUCAUCUUCUUCAUAGUUUGGAGCUCAUUUUGAGGUGAGCUUCUUAAGCCCUUUAAUGGUAGACCUUUAAUUCUUGGUUUAAAUACCUUAUAAAUGGAUUUAGAGGAGUCCUAGCAUGCUAUCUAGAUGAUUAAUGCUUGAAUCAUGGAUCAAUUUAGUGAUUUCUUGCAUAGUUGUAACCUAGGGCUCUAAAAUGCAAACUUUCAAAAUAUGAGGGUUUGAUCUCAUUUGACCCUUCGUAAACCUAAUUGCUAGGUAAACGAAUGCGUUGGCGAAGUCGGUUCGGCAAUUCGUCGAGCCGUUGUGAAGUUAUUAAAGAAACGGACGUUUAGGCUUCGUUUUUGCCUGGAGGGCCGAGGCGACUUCGUAUACUCAUGAAAGCGGAUUUGAAGCAUCGUGGCACAAUACCAAAGACCUUUAAUUUUCGGAUUGUGAAUUGGAGGCCGUUCGGGUGGUCGCGCGAGAGAUCGGGCCAAACCGGGUGCCGGGUGCCGCGGGAGGCCGAUUGCAAGUGUCGACAAGCAAUCGGAAAGCAUUUUGAGGUGGGUUGUGCUCACCGAAGCGACUAGGUCGCCUAUAUGUCUAAGAGUAAUGGUUUUCUAAUUGAUGCAUAUAGUUGAUGUUACUUACUGUUGAGAUAAAAUGCAUAAUGACAUAUAAUGUGUUAAAUGCUAGAUGAAUGCAUGAGUUAAUUGUCACAUGAAUGCAUGAAAAUAAUGUUAUAGUAAUACGUUAGAGGUAAUAUGCAUGUGAUAAAUUAUGGAACAUGUUGGAUGGCAUAUGAAUGAUUGGUAUAUAUAUGUUGACAUAUUGUGGAAUAUGAUGAAUGAGUGCAUUUUGAUUUAUUGUAGAAUAUACUAGAUGAAUGUAUAUUGACAUAUUGUGGAUUAUGUUAAAUGACACAUGCAUGUUGAACUUGGGUCGAUAAACUCUAGGUGAAUUAGAGAACUCUACAUUGAAAAACAAUGACAUAUGAACUAUGAUAUAUGACGUGAACAAUCUAUAUAUAUUAGAUCGAGUGGCAUAUGAUUAGUAUAGUGGAAACACUUAUGGCAUGUUGAACACUUAGAAAAUAAGUGUGGCAUGAGUCAAGAAUAUAGUAGUGUAUUUGACACAAGUGAUAGUAAAGAAUGCAAAGAAAAGAAUGAUUGAAAUAUUAUGACAUUUCAACCCUAGAGUUAGGGUCAUUUGAGCCUAGUCUUCCUAAAAUUAAGGAAUGGAUUGAACUUGGAGUCCUCAAAUAUAGGAUUGAUCAUACUCACCUUUAGUCCUUGCUCGAGGUUGUGGUAGCUCCCCCUCGGGCGAUGUGCUCCGGAGUCGACAUCACUGAGUUGUAGCGAGUAUCUCCCCAGAAGACGGUCCCAUCGGGUUGUAGCGGGUAUCUUCCCGGUUAUUGGGAUUUUGGGUUGGUGAGUUUGUUGAGGGCGAAACCUUCGGGCUAGCCAAGAGAUUGGGUAACAAGCACAUGAGUUGUAGCAAUAACCUAGUUGAGUGGACUUAAGGCUGAGGUGCAAGUGAGACGUCCUUCGCCUCGAGCCUUGCUUUACGCGGUACUCCGCGAAUGAUUGACUCAAGACCGAGUCGGGUGGAUAGUUGAUAAAGAUGAAUGAGAUCCUAUGAUCAGAAUUGUAAUUGAUAUGAAUUUAAAAUAAAGAAAUAACUUCGAAGUCAAUUGAAUGAGUUAUGAAUAGCAGGAUUAAAGUAGUAUCGAUUGAACUUCUAUUUGGUUGCAUAAGUCGCAUGAUUUUCAUAUUGCAUGGUUGUGAGGCAUGACAUGUAUUUCAAUUAUCGCAUAUAUAUAUAUCUGUUGGAUAUUUGUUGGACUAAUAUGUUGCAGUGCCUCCUUGGACCUGUGGGUCGAGCUCUUCCUUUGGGUGGCCGUACCCACUGGGAACUAUAUUUAUAUAGUUCUCACCCCCGUGUUUCUUUUGGGGGUAUAGGUUCGCACGUGAGCGGCGCGGCGGCGCGAGGAGAGGGCGUAGCUCCGUAGAUAGCGCCCUACCACCGAGACCAGAGAUAGCGGUACCCGAGUCAGCCUAGCUAGGGGCGUAGGAGAAAAGAAAAGAAAAGAAUAAACAAUGUUGUAAUAAUUUUGAUUAUAUUUGGAAGUUAAAUGUAAUAAGUAUUUGUGAUGUAAAAUAUAUUUAGUGAAUGAGAAUGCUUGUAAUAGCAAGUAGAUUAUGUGUUUGAUGCUUUCUUAUGCAAUCCUUGAUUGAAAUGUGUUCCUAGUUGGAACUUCGUACAUUGUAUCGAUUGCGACGCCUUGAACGUACAGGGGAGAUUCUGUCCGCGGUGCCGGAGAAAUCCUGUCCGUUCGGUGGUCUGUCGGCGUGCCCGAAACCGACCAAAUAGGCUGGCUUGGGGCGUGACAACGGCACAACCCAAUCCAUAAUCCUUUC
rnacentral:lncRNA from 1 species